rnacentral:rRNA from 1 species
GAACAUGUUAGCAUGGAAUAAUAAGAUAGGGCUCCGGCUCAUAUUUUGUUGGUUUCUAGAGCGUGGGAGUAAUGAUUGAUAGGGACAGUUGGGGGUGCUAGUAUUCAGCGGCCAGAGGUGAAAUUCAUGGAUUCGCUGAAGACUGACUUAUGCGAAAGCAUUCACCAAGGAUGUCCUCUUUAAUCAAGAACGAAAGUUGGGGGAUCGAAGACGAUCAGAUACCGUCGUAGUCUCAACCAUAAACGAUGUCGACUAGGGAUUGGCGGUCGUUUUUCAUAUAAGACUCCGUCAGCACCUUCCGAGAAAUCAAAGUGUUUGGACUCUUGGGGAAGUAUGGUCGCAAGGCUGAAACUUAAAGGAAUUGACGGAAGGGCACCACCAGGAGUGGAGCCUGCGGCUUAAUUUGACUCAACACGGGGAAACUUACCAGGUCCAGAGAUGUAGAGGAUUGACAGAUUGAAGCUCUUUCUUGAUCACUUCGGUGGUGGUGCAUGGCCGUUCUUAGUUGGUGGAGUGAUUUGUCUGGUUAAUUCCGUUAACGAACGAGACCUCAGCCUGCUUUUGUAGUCGGCCNUAUCCCCUCGUGGGGUACGCGUUCCAACUUCUUAGAGGGACUAUCGAUGUGCAGUCGAUGGAAGUUUGAGGCAAUAACAGGUCUGUGAUGCCCUUAGAUGUUCUGGGCCGCACGCGCGCUACAAUGCUAGGUUCAACGAGUCGAUUUCGUACUUGGCCGAGAGGCCUGGUUAAUCUUCUGAAAUCCUAGCGUGCUUGGGCUUGCCUCUUGCAACUAGAGGCACCAACGAGGAAUUCCUAGUAGACGCAGGUCAUCAACCUGCAUCGAUUACGUCCCUGCCCUUUGUACACACCGCCCGUCGCUUCUACCGAUUGGGCGUCCCGGUGAACAAUCGGGAGGCCGCGCUCAUGGUCAGCAAUGGCCGGAGCGCGGUCGAACCUUUGUAAAUUUGGACGCCUAGAGGAAGAAGAAGUCGUAACAAGGUUUCCGUAGGUGAACCUGCGGAAG